AGAAUGCUUUGUGAAACCUAAAAGGAACCUGAAAAGGCGCCUGCUGUUUGGUUUUGGCUCGCUGCAGGAGUUCGGCUGCUCUGGAGAGUUCAUGUUUCUGCUCUUUUGUUCAGCUGUUCGGACUCUCAUUCUGACGGCACCCAUUCACUACAGAGGAUACAUUGGAGAGCAAGUGAUGUAAUGAUAAAUUUCUCCAAAUCUGUUUCGAUGAAGAAACAAACUCAUCUACAUCUUGGAUGGUCUGAGGAAUGUGUGAAAACAAGGCACUCGACGCAGCUGAGAGAGAGGGCUGUCAGAUGCCACUCAGGCCAGGCUCAGGGCCCU